GGCAGCUGGGGAGGGGGCCGCGGAGCCGGAGCGCGAGAAACAGCUGAUCCGAUUUUCCUUAAAGCGAGAGAAAAUGGAAGUCGGGUAGCGGUGACUGAGGCGCUGCGGGCUGGCCGAGCGGAGCGGCACAGCGCGGCAGUUUGGCAAGAGGAUAAGAUCUACCCGACUUCGCCUAACAGAGCAGAACCAUGACGCCGUGAUGGACAGUUGCCCAAGAAGGAACCGAACCACUGUACCCGUGAUGAUAAAAGUGGGGGUUCACGAUUCAACACUGCUGCCUCAGCAAAACAGCCCUUUAUGAGCGUGGAAGGGAGGAAGAGAGAAGCAGAGACAUUUUCCGAGCAGGAGGGUGUGUUGGCCAUCUACUCCCCAGCAUGAUGGAACAACCUGUCUAAAUUCACAGAGCUGCCAAGCCUGCAGCACGGAAGACCAGGUUCCUCAUGUUCUUCCCAUCAGUUCGUUGUGUUGCCCAAGAGAUGGGCAGUGACAUUUUGCCCCGAAUUCCUGGUGGUAUUCGUGGACCAGUGGGCAAAGGCAUGAGAAGGCACCUCUUGCAUGGGUGUUUGGUCGCCCCAGCAGCACACCUUCCCCGAGGGUCCUGGCCCAGGCUGAGCAUGAGUGACAUAAGGAAAACUGGGGCGCUGCAUGAUCUCUGGGCAGCUACCAGGCUGGAGGGGAGUCUGCACGUGAGGCAUCACAUCGGCGGAGCACAGCCAGGCAGGAGUCACACUUCCUCCAUGGUGGACAGGUGGGGUGGGGGCCUCCACCACCCAGGCACAUUCUCCAGGGAGGCAGAGCCCUUCACAAGUCCAGGUUGGGUUUCUUCAUCUAGAUAUGAGGCUGUACUUUGUAAAUUAAGACUAUACAAAUGUAAGAAACUGUUUUGAGGUUUUUGUUGUUGUUAUUGUAGUUACUUUUCAGAAGCAAGAAUGAAAACCUGGAGGAAAUGUAGAAAGAGCCUAAGUCAUUUGGAGACAUGUAGAAUUUGCAUGAAGCUGUUAGGUGGUUCCCGGUGGUUCACAGAGGAGAAUGGCCCCCAGACGUUUGCUGCUAGCCCAGGAGGCUAGAGCUAGACUCAUGGGCUGUAUGCAGGCAGGGCUCAGCCACGGUCAGGCUGUGGGACUUUUCGGAGGGACCCAGCAGGCCUGAGGCUGCGUGCCCAUUCCCUGGGGCUGUGCCAUAUCCUCCCCAGUGUGUUUCCAGGCACUUGGCCCAGGUUAGCCCAUGAGUGUCUGCUGGAUGGGCCCCCACAUUCAGGGCACUGAGUGGAGUGGGUCCAGGUCAGGCCCCUGCUCUGACCACCUGCUGGCCUUUCACUUGCUCUGCCCAGCCACUCCCUGCAUCCCCAACAUGUUCUGCUUUCCAGAGAGUGCACAGGGGAGGUUGUAGGCACCCAAGUGCCUGCAGAGGAGCCCCUGAGUGCCCAGGCCAGUGGGGGGUGGGACACUGCCAUCCCUGGGCCCCCUGGGGGCACGGGUGUGGGAGAGGCUGUGCUUUGGGGUCAGACACACUGUGUUCUGUUUCCAUGGUGCUGCCUUCUGCUGUGAGUCCCUGGCUGGGUCAGGUCAUCUCCCAGCCACUGCGUCCCUGCAGGUGACAGCAGGUCCAGGGGUACCUGUCGGUUCUCUACAGCUUCUCUCCAGGCUCCUCUCCCCUCAGGACGGAGCCCUAACCAACUGGGCGUUCAUUCCUUUUCAGCAGGGUUGGGAAGAGACCUGCCCCAUCGCUGGGGACCUCCGGGAGGUGUCUUACUGCCCUGAGCCUCUGUUCCCACGUCUGGAAUGAGGGGGAGCCUCAUUCCAUUCGCGGGGUUGAUGUGAGGACCACAGAGGCUGGUGGACAGGUGCUUGUGUUGAGAUCAGAGAGAGGUCACCCUGGAAACAGAGGAGACCCUCUGAGAGCUCCAGAGCGAGUCACACCAGCACCAUCUUCCUGAGUUUGUGGGAUGUUCUGGGAUACAGAACAGCCUGGAGCAGGAGAGGGCAGUCUGGACCCUUUGGACAUUCAUCGGAAUUCACUGUGCAUUUUCCUUUUUAGGGAGCAAACCGGAGGAUCCUUCAAACCUUUGUCCACUGUGUGUCAUCGAUGUUCAUUUUUUAAUAGACUA